CCUACGGGGCGCAGCAGUGGGGAAUAUUGGACAAUGGGCGAAAGCCUGAUCCAGCCAUGCCGCGUGUGUGAAGAAGGCCUUCGGGUUGUAAAGCACUUUCAGUGGGGAAGAAAGCCUUGGGGCUAAUACCCUCGAGGAAGGACAUCACCCACAGAAGAAGCACCGGCUAACUCCGUGCCAGCAGCCGCGGUAAUACGGAGGGUGCGAGCGUUAAUCGGAAUUACUGGGCGUAAAGCGCGCGUAGGCGGUCUGAUAAGCCGGUUGUGAAAGCCCCGGGCUCAACCUGGGAACGGCAUCCGGAACUGUCAGGCUAGAGUGCAGGAGAGGAAGGUAGAAUUCCCGGUGUAGCGGUGAAAUGCGUAGAGAUCGGGAGGAAUACCAGUGGCGAAGGCGGCCUUCUGGACUGACACUGACGCUGAGGUGCGAAAGCGUGGGUAGCAAACAGGAUUAGAUACCCUUGUAGU
rnacentral:rRNA from 1 species